rnacentral:tRNA from 1 species
UGGUCUAGUAGUUAAGGCACCUGGCUAGAAAGCAGGAGACUGUGAGUUCAAGUCCCAC